GAUGAACGCUAGCGGCAGGCUUAACACAUGCAAGUCGAGGGGUAUAGUUCUUCGGAACUAGAGACCGGCGCACGGGUGCGUAACGCGUAUGCAAUCUACCUUUUACAGGGGGAUAGCCCAGAGAAAUUUGGAUUAAUACCCCAUAGUAUGUUAGAGUGGCAUCAUUUUAACAUUAAAGUUCCAACGGUAAAAGAUGAGCAUGCGUCCCAUUAGCUAGAUGGUAAGGUAACGGCUUACCAUGGCGACGAUGGGUAGGGGUCCUGAGAGGGAGAUCCCCCACACUGGUACUGAGACACGGACCAGACUCCGACGGGAGGCAGCAGUGAGGGAUAUUGGACAAUGGGCGCAAGCCUGAUCCAGCCAUGCCGCGUGCAGGAAGACGGUCCUAUGGAUUGUAAACUGCUUUUGUACAGGAAGAAACACUCCCUCGUGAGGGAGCUUGACGGUACUGUAAGAAUAAGGAUCGGCUAACUCCGUGCCAGCCGCCGCAGUAACAC
rnacentral:rRNA from 1 species